GUGGUAUCAGAGAUAUGAUUGGUUUCAAUUGUAUGUGAUGCUUAACUGUCUUGUUUGCUAAAAAUCGAGUUUUCUGCCUCUGCUCGACUCAACUCGGCGAGUCAGUAUGUAACGACCCAAUUUUCACGUCCAAAAAUUUCAUUUUUAAAACAUUACUUUAGAAAACAUUAAUAAUUAAAAACAUUGUUUGAUCAAACCACAUCACAACGUAAACCAUGUCUAAAAGCCAAAUCAUACAACCAAUCGAAAUAUCAGAGUACCAAUCCCAGGGUAAACUCAUAAAUGCGGAAUCAAGGAGUGUGUGUGAUGAGCCGCUACCAUGCCUGCUCCUUCCCCUUGGCUGAAGAGGUACUUGAAACAACAAUUGAGAAACGUAAGCACAAAGCUUAGUGAGUUCCCCCAUCGUACCACAUACCAUACAACACAUAUCAUACAUACUGCCAGGCUAUUCUGGGGUGCCUGACUACCCGGUACGGCCAUUCUGGGGUGCUGACUACCUAUGCGACCAUUCUGGGGCGCCGUCCUACCCGUGUCAAUCCAUUCUAGGGUGCUGACUACCCGUGUCAAGCUAUUCUGGGGUGCUGACUACCCGUCGGUCCUGACAACCGAUCCUCGGGGACUAUUUCACCCCUACUGCUACUACUAUCACAUAUCAUAACAUAACAUAUUAUCAGACAUAUCUGGGGUGUCUGAACUACCCUUCGGUCCUAACAACCGAACUCGGGGACUGCUCCCCUCCUACUACCUCUAACUCAUAUAACAGAUCAUGCUAGCAUAUAAACAUAACAUCACAUACUGUCAGACGUAUCUGGGGUGUCUGACUACCCUCCGGUCCUAACAACCGAACU
rnacentral:lncRNA from 1 species